rnacentral:rRNA from 1 species
UGGGGAAUAUUGCACAAUGGGCGAAAGCCUGAUGCAGCGACGCCGCGUGAGGGAUGACGGCCUUCGGGUUGUAAACCUCUUUCAGCAGGGAAGAAGCGAAAGUGACGGUACCUGCAGAAGAAGCGCCGGCUAACUACGUGCCAGCAGCCGCGGUAAUACGUAGGGCGCAAGCGUUGUCCGGAAUUAUUGGGCGUAAAGAGCUCGUAGGCGGUUAGUCGCGUCUGCUGUGAAAACUCGAGGCUCAACCUCGGGCUUGCAGUGGGUACGGGCUGACUAGAGUGCGGUAGGGGUGACUGGAAUUCCUGGUGUAGCGGUGGAAUGCGCAGAUAUCAGGAGGAACACCGAUGGCGAGGGCAGGUCACUGGGCCGCAACUGACGCUGAGGGGCGAAAGCAUGGGGAGCGAACAGGAUUAGAUACCCUGGUAGUCCAUGCCGUAAACGUUGGGCACUAGGUGUGGGGUCCAUUCCACGGAUUCCGUGCCGCAGCAAACGCAUUAAGUCGCCCCCGCUGGGGAGUACGGCCGCAAGGCUAAAACUCAAAGGAAUUGACGGGGUCAUAGCUGUUUCCU